UCCAGCUUGUCCCAAAUCUGAGUGAGGAGUCAGAAUGGCUGGUGUGGAGAAAUGGCAUGGUGGAACCCAUCAGUCAGCCUUCCUGCUCUGCGAGAACCCUUAGUGUUUACCCCUUCCCAUCCUCCAAACCUGAGCCAAGACCGCAGCCAGACCUGGAGUUGCCAGGGUCCCUGAAUUAGACCAAAUUCCAGGGACAUCUCUGCUCUUCUGACUCAAUGACCAACCUCAAUGGGAAAGUACAUGAAACGUCAGACUGUGG